rnacentral:lncRNA from 1 species
CCCCACCGCACUUCUCUCGGCUUCCCCGCCUCCCUCAUUCUCUCCUGCCGGAAGUGCCUGGAAGAGCUUCCGGGUGGGCGCGGGUCUGAGGCAGCGGCGGCGGCGGCGGCUGCUGCUGGGGCGGUUGGAGGGGCAGCGGGGCCAAGCUGGGGCCAAUUGCCAACGGCUUGAGGCGGAGGAGGGCGAGGGAAAGGCUGCCACGGGGCGAGGGAGCGAUGUAAGAGGCCAACGCCCAGGACCAGCUUUGCCAAAUAUCUUUGAAAAUAUGGCCUGGAGAAUGACCAUACAUAUCAUCUGUUGAAGUAAAGGAAAGCAAUUUGUGGUAC